rnacentral:tRNA from 1 species
AGGGUUGUAGUUAACAAUUAAUAUUUAAUUUGCAAUUAAAAGAUACUAUAUACCUUUAUAGUCUACCUUA